rnacentral:rRNA from 1 species
AUUGAACGCUAGCGGGAUGCUUUACACAUGCAAGUCGAACGGAGUGGCGGACGGGUGAGUAAUAUAUCGGAACGUGCGCAGUAGCGGGGGAUAACUAGUCGAAAGAGUGGAUAAUACCGCAUACUCUUGGAGCGGCCGAUAUCGGAUUAGCUAGUUGGUGGGGUAACGGCUCAUCAAGGCCACGAUCCCUAGCUGGUUUGAGAGGACGAAAAGCCACACUGGAACUGAGACACGGCCCAGACUCCUACGGGAGGCAGCAGUGGGGAAUUUUGGACAAUGGGGGAAACCCUGAUCCAGCCAUCCCGCGUGUAUGAAGAAGGCCUUCGGGUUGUAAAGUACUUUUGGCAGAGAAGCGGUAUCUGCAGAAUAAGCACCGGCUAACUACGUGCCAGCAGCCGCGGUAAUAC